rnacentral:lncRNA from 1 species
GAUCCAUCUGCCUCGGCCUCCCAAAGUGCUGGGAUUACAGGUGUGAGCCACCACGCCCGGCCCCAGGUUCCUCUUGUAAAGAAACUUAUGAAGUAGAUGAAACAAACAUUUAGACAAUUAACUACUCACUACAAAGCUGAGGGAGAUAAGUGGGGACAAAAUGUGUCACUGAAAUCACAAGGAGCAAAGGCCCAACUUGGGAGAAUCAGCAAAGACUUUAAAGAGAGCAACAGAUAUUCAAGGGGCCACCUGUGGCACUUGUGGCCACACUGGCAUUCAUAAAUGAUGACAGAGCAAAGGCCCGUCAUGAACUAGUCUAAGCUUUCAACUUCUCUACAACCCUGCUAGCUUUGCUAAAUCUCUCAGCUGUCAUUCCUCAACUCCCAACUCUGCUACUAACCUCAAAGGAAACCAUCAUCAACACAGUUCUUCUCUGGUACAUUGCAUAUCAGAAGAAUGUAAAUGGCAGAGAAGGAUAAGAAUCCCCACAUACAGAAGAUUCUCACACAUCAGAGGUGUUUAAUUCAUAAUCAACUGGCUAAGAAGCAAAGCUCUCUGGAGUCCUGGGCAACAUGUAAUGACAGUGGCAAUGGAUAAUGGCUAUUCGUUUUUAGCCUUUUCUCCAACUCCCCAUCUACUAUACAGAGCAUCCAGGCAAAUAUAGCAGAAAAAAAGACCAGCCACUCCCUAGCAUAGCAGGCAGAAACUAACACACAGGAAAAGGCACCAAAUUGAAUGGGCAGCCAUGUAGUUGCAAGAGAGAGACUGCCAAGGUUUUAGGACCAAGAGCUGUUUUCUGGGCUUUGGUCUCAUGCUGCAUAGGUCAGAAGAUUCUGUUGAUGGCUAGUCAGGAAAAAUAAAACCUGACUGCAAAACUAGAAAAGACAAUACAUACAUCAUUUCUUCAUAUCCUCUUUUGCAAACAGUAUUGAACUAUCACCAGGUGCCAGGGAAUCUUAAAAAUUCAGUGUUUUCACUUAAUAUGAGAACAUUAAUUCUACUUACUAAAGAUAAUAUUAGAGAUAAGGUGGGUUAAAAAGUCCAAAUAUCACAAAGAGGAGGUCUCAGCAGGUUCUUUCAAACCUCCUCUCUUACCAAGUUAAAUACUGGUACAGAUAUCCACAAAGAUCAUAAGCAUAUUGAACACCCUGCAGUCAGAGUACUCCAUCUAUGUAUAUAUUGUAUUAUGUACACAUCAAAAAGGCCUGGUGAUAGGGAAUGCCCAGUGAGUUGGGGCUUUCUCUUAUUCCUUGCCUCAAGAAGGCCUCCUGGCUGACUCCAUUUUUCCUUCACAUCACUGCCCACCCUCUGCAAUCUUCAACAUCAAAUCCAGUUUUGCAUUGACCUUGGGCAUCCAAAGAAAAGGCGGUUGUCUCCCUAUAGCAGCUGAGCAGCUCCCACAAAAGCACGCAGAUUUUCACUUAGGCCCAUCUCACAGCCAUAAAAUAUCUACACUGGCAGUAGAUAGAGUAAAAACAACUGGGAGUCACAAGUAAAAGCCUGCUACAAAUACUAUUAUCAAGAGAAAUAUCUAUAAACAAUUUCUCCUUUCCCAGGAAAUGGUCCAUAACAGUUUACCAAUUUCUUUAGGAUGGCUCUUUUACUAUAAAUAAUCCUGUGUCAAAACAAUUAUCUUUACUCUGAGGUCACCAAGCUGCCAUUUUCUGUAAUGGCAAUAUUCUCUCAGCACUGUAGAUAAGAGACAUGGCUAAACUCCCCCCAACCCCCCAAAAUCUGGGCUGUAGUUCAACAAUUUCUUCUAACUCUACUUCCCACUUUAGGCCUUCCAACCAAAACAGAAUUCACCGGAAACACCCAAAAUCACUCUUGAAAACAACUUUAUGAUAUCUUCACCUGCUAAAACACCUUCUGAUACUUCAAGGUCAAGCAAACCCAGAUGACAACAGAAAUCAGAGGAUUUUUUAAAAUCAGGAAGAAUCUUUCGAACAUAUUUCCCUUUUGAUCUUGAAAAAUUUAAAGUCAAAGUAAACAAAGUAGAAAAAGAUCCCUUCAAGAAUAACAAGGUCAAUGUGAGGCGGAAAUCCAAUCAAUGAUUUACUAAAAGGUAAAUUGCACAUGGUACUAGGAAGUGUUCUGGACUAGGAGACAGAAGGUCUAGAUUCGGGUACAAGUCCUAACAUUUAGUAGCUAUGUGAUAAUAACAGCUAAUAGCUAACAUUUGUUGAGAUUUACUAUGCACCAGACACUGUUCUAAGUGCCUUGUGGACAUUAACUCAUUUCAUCUUCACACACACCCUAUGUGGUAAGCCCUAUUUUGAAUUCUGCUUUAUAUUUAAGGAAAUUACACAGAGUGAUUAAGCGACUUGUUCAAGAUCACCCAGUAAGUGGUGGAACCAUGAACUUGAAUAUUAACAUUUCUGAAUCCUGGCUCUCUUCUCUGUCAAAUGAAGAAACCAAAUAUUUGUCCCAAUUACCUUACAGAGAUGUAGGUUGUAAGAUAACGUAUAAAAAGGUGUUUCAUAAACUAGGAAGUCAUCCGGCAGAGCCGCCUGGCAGCUCCUCCUCUUCUCCGCCCCGGCGGCCGCGGGCGCGGGGGACGUCAGCGCUGCCAGUGUGGAAAGAGCUGCGGGGCGCGGGAGGAGGAAGUAGAGCCCGGGACCGCCGGGCCACCACCGACCGCCUCAGCCAUGGACGCGUCCCUGGAGAAGGGAGUCUCGGUCUCUUGCCCAGGCGGGAGUGCAGUGAGGCGAUCUCGGAUCCCUGCAACCUCCGCCUCCCGGAUUCAAGUGAUUCUCCUGCCUCAGCCUCCCGAGCAGCUGUGACUACAGGCGUGUGACACCACACCCGACUAAUUUUUGUAUUCCCAGUAGAGAUGGGGUUUCACCACGUUGGUCAGGAUGGUCUCAAACACCUGACCUUGUGAUCCUUCAGCCUCAGCCUCCCACAGUGCUGGGAUUACAGGCGUAAGCCACUGCACCUGGCCGGGACUUAGAUUUAUAUUCCCUGAAGUAAUACAGGGCCUUAGAUGGAAUGAACGAUUUAUAUUGGUGCUAAUUGGGC